UACGGGGGGGGUAAGCGUUGUUCGGAAUUACUGGGCGUAAAGGGCUCGUAGGCGGCCAACUAAGUCCGACGUGAAAUCCCCAGGCUUAACCUGGGAACUGCGUCGGAUACUGGUUGGCUUGAAUCCGGGAGAGGGAUGCGGAAUUCCAGGUGUAGCGGUGAAAUGCGUAGAUAUCUGGAGGAACACCGGUGGCGAAGGCGGCAUCCUGGACCGGCAUUGACGCUGAACAGCGAAAGCCAGGGGAGCAAACGGG
rnacentral:rRNA from 1 species